UACGGGGGGGGCAAGCGUUAUUCGGAAUUACUGGGCGUAAAGCGCGCGUAGGCGGCCCUGUAAGUCCGUUGUGAAAGUCAAAGGCUCAACCUUUGAAAGCCGAUGGAUACUGCAGGGCUAGAGUCCGGAAGAGGCGAGUGGAAUUCCUGGUGUAGCGGUGGAAUGCGCAGAUAUCAGGAGGAACACCAAUAGCGAAGGCAGCUCGCUGGGACGGUACUGACGCUAAGGCGCGAAAGCGUGGGGAGUGAACAGG
rnacentral:rRNA from 1 species